GGCAAGCACAGUUCUCACUGUGUUUCAGAAUUUGUCAGUGACUAAUCAGUUUUUAAAAUAUUACUUGAAAUUUUUUGACAGUUAAUUCAUUCCUUUCGAAAGCUAUAUGAGAGCUGCAAUAGUUUUUUAUGCGCUUACCUGAUUUCACUGCAACAAAAUAAGUUCCUGAGUUAAAACUUGGUCUUUUAUUUCUUGUUAUACUUAAUUAGACUAUCUUUCAGUAUAUCUUGGCAGUCAUUCUCAAACAGUCUGAAUUUAUUUGUUGCAUGUCAUUACACAUUUUUCUGGAUCAUAGUCAAAUACUCACAGGCGCUAACUUUUAAUGUUCUCACGGUGGGCAUCAAAGAUUCAUCACUCAAUUGAGAAACGCACUGUUUGUGAAGACUGUGGCCAAAAGAUGAGGAUCCAGAAACAGAUAAACAUAAAAUGUAAAAGAAUUACUUAAUUGGCUUUGUAAAACUGUCAGCCAUGUCUGACCUUACGUAACAGCAUUUGAACA